GUGGACAAUGUGCUGACCCCAACGCUGUGUGUGACCAGAUCACCAGACGAUGUCAGUGUAAGACAGGAUUCUUCAACAAAAAUGGCAACUGUGUUGCUGAACUCCAGCCUGGCUCAUCUUGUUCCCCUGGUGAGCAGUGUGGUAGUAAUGCAGAGUGUGUCACAGGGAAAUGCACAUGUCUACCAGAGUUCUAUGUGGACACACUGACUGGGCAGUGCUUACCCAGAGGUAAGCUGUCCAAACCAUGUCUGCCUGAGAGGUAUAUCCCAAGAUGUGAUGACCCAAACACAGAGUGUAACCCUGGCAACGACACCUGUGUAUGUCAGAGAGAACACCACAUCAAGAACAACCGCUGUGUGCCAAAUAUUCCAACCAAAUCAAGCUGUGUGCGUAACUCUGAAGAUGUGUGUGCUGACCAGAAUGCAGAGUGUACUGCUGCUGGGAUAUGU